UUGAAGGUUGAAAACUAAUGAUGAAUUGAAGGUUGAAAACUAAUGAUGAAUUGAAGGUUGAAAACUAAUGAUGAAUUGAAGGUUGAAAACUAAUGAUGAAUUGAAGGUUGAAAACUAAUGAUAUAUCUAGUUGGUAUUCAGCGGCUUUGGAUGAAUAUCUAUCCUUGCAUCCAGAUCUAGAAUUAUGGGAGCUGGCGGACCCAGAGCGCCUGAAAGGAGCCAAUACGAGCUCCUAAACUAAUAAAACAGGGAUAAAGAGAAACUGCCCUGGUACAAGGAUAGUCUGGCAACCCUCCCUCCAUCAUAGAUGUACAUCAUCUGUGCACAUUAUCUGCACAUUAUCUGCACAUUAUCUGCACAUAGUUCAAAACGAUAUUUACACUUAUUUGAGACUUGGCCUACUUUUAAGUGUUGCAAAGCCUUUGGACUUGAUUUUACCUAAAAAUUUGCUCUACUUCUUUAUCUAGCACUUCAGGCACUGUGAUAACAGUGUUUAAAUCCCUUUAUUUUUGCAACUCACUAUUUCGUAAACGUUUGAUAUUUCAAAUUAUGAGUUCUGUCAGAUAAA
rnacentral:lncRNA from 1 species